AUAUGAAUCUGAUAAAUUUUUUAUUCUUGUAACAUCUGGUAAGGUGUCUGGAAGGUCAUGAUGCAUUGUUUUCUGCGCUAUAUGCAUUUAGAGCCGUGAAACCUAUAGGAAAAAGAUACAUAGACCACUCUUUUCUAUACGCCCCUUUGCACCACUGCUGAUGUGGCAGGGGUAGUUUGAUAAUUUCACGCGAUAGGGAUAGUUUGGUAGUUUUUACAAUCUCUUUCUCUUCUUUGUUCACAGAUCUGUUCUCUCUCCGUCUCAAUCCCACUCUUCCAUAUCUCUCCCUCAUCCGGACUGCUCUCUCACCCCCAACCAACACAUGAUCUCCACUCACCGCCAUGUCUCCUUUCGUGAUCUCCUCCCACUGCUCCGUCCCCUUUCAGCCACCGUCAAGUCACAAUAACUGUCGGCGCACAGUCACUGUCGCAUCAGAGUCUCAAUCGCGACCUUGCUCCCUCACUCAAAUCGUUGGAAAUCUCUGUCACAAUCUAGUCGAAAAUUGAAUCUCUCUGUUAAAGGAACUCUAGCAAAGUACAUUGCUGGUCAAGUGUAUUACUAUCCAGCUUUCCAAUCAGUCAUUCAUGGGGAGAAAUUGAGUCAUGAAUUAAGGAAAGACCUCACAAGAGAGACUGCACGGGAAGCAUGGAUCAUAUGCAUUGCAGAGAUACUUAGUAACUAGUUAUCUAUGCUGGGUUGAUGGAGUUUUUCGGUGAUUAAUGAUGAUCUAGCUGUCUACAAGGCCAAAUAAAUUUGCAAAGCAUGGAUCACAAAUGGAAUAACAGCUAUGUUUUUCCUGAGCAUGAUGAUUUACUUUCUUGUAGAUAAUAUGCAUUGCCACAAUUAAUUUGAAAUAUUGUCAGGUGUUUCUAUAGAAUUGGGUUAUGCAAGGUAGAGGUUGAAGUAGCUUUGCAAACAAUGGUGUUAGUUUAAGUACUUGUCUUAUGGUGUUUUAGCAUUACAUGUGUACUAGAGGUUACUUCUAUAUGGUGCAUUAGCAUACUAGAAAGUGUAACCAUGUAUUAUUAGCUCAAAUUAGGAGCUUGUUUAAUGACAUACUUAGGUAA